CCCUGCUCCUCGCCACCCUCACGGCAGGAUCUGGCCAUCAGCAGGGACAUGUCUGCUCCCUGCCUGGCACCUGGUGGGUUUGGGACCUGGCCACAUCCAGGGACUCGCUGGCUGGUCCUGGGAGCAUCCCCCAGCUGGUUGGGAGAGCCCAGGGUGGGCCUGAUCCUGAGGGGUCCCCGGUGCUGAGCCUUGAGGAAAGGCUGGAGGAGGGAUGUGGUAGCAGUUGGGGGUCUCUGGAGGGGACACCAGUGGGGGGGCUGGCACUGCAGGGCUGGGCAUGGCCCCCACCCCCUUGGGUGGGAGCAUCACGCUCCAUGGCCACGAGGGAUGGAGCACCCAGGAUUGGUGUGGUCCAUCAGCCACCAGCCCGGGCACUGGGUGAUGUUAGUCCUUCUCGUGGCCAACUGGUCAGUGGAAACCCCUAAAUUGUCAUUUUGGGGCUGCUCCAACCCCUUCCCUGCAGCAGGCAGGGCUGGUACCCGUUGUCUGGACGGGGAUGCUCUCCUGUGCCACGUGCCGUGGAGGCUUCCCAUCUGUAAGGACCCGACAUCUGACCUCCUUUGUGUCUUAAUUGAGCCCCCGGAAUCAUUUUGAACCCCCUCCCGGCCCAAAAAUUGGACCAGGACCCAACACCAUCCCCGCUCCCUGGAUGUGUGUCCCCCACCUGCCCCAGAGAGGAUCUCCCUGGGCUCAGCCCGGUUUUCUCUGGGGCCCGUCGCUGUUUGUGCAGAGCAAACGCUUCCGCAAAGGACGCUUUGAAUGUUGGGGUUUUUUUGUGUGUGUGUGUGUGUGUGUGUGUGCUGGGGUUUGGUGCAGAGCCCGGCUCCGCUCGCGUGCGGAACAAAAAGAAGGUGUCUGACGCCCAAAAUAACUCCGUCCCCUCCCGUCGGCAGCCCCGGCGCUGCGGGUGCUGCGAUACCAAAAGGUCUUCUCGGCCUGGAAAGUGAUGUCGGUGCUGCUUCUCCUCCCCCCAGCCUUGGGUUUCGGUGCAGGGGGGAGCUUGGCUCAGCCCCCAGCCCGUGUGGGCUGAGAUGGGGGGGUCCCAGACAGCUGUGGGGGCGUGGGGUGGCACCGUGGGCUCCGUGACACCUCACAUCUCACCAGGGUUUGGUGGAGGACAUUUGGUGACGUCUGAUUGCGCUGUGACGCU
rnacentral:lncRNA from 1 species